UACCUCUCGUUGCCUCGGCGGAGAGGGGAUCCAUCAAUCAGCCUGUUGAGAACACUGUGUAAUAUAGCUCACGUCUCAGGGUUGAGGGGCUACCCGGGUAUCACUACCCUGUAGCUCCAGGUGACAUCCCUCGCCGCCGCUGGCCCACGAAACUCUGUUUUAUUUUGCAACUCUGAAUCUAAAAACAAAUAAUUUAAAACUUUCAACAACGGAUCUCUUGGUUCUGGCAUCGAUGAAAAACGCAGCGAAAUGCGAUAAGUAAUGUGAAUUGGAGAAUUCAAUGAAUCAUCGAAUCUUUGAACGCACAUUGCGCCCAUUAGUAUUCUAGUGGGCAUGCCUGUUCGAGCGUCAUUUCAACCCUUAACCCUGUUGCUAGCGUUGGGAGCCCGCUGGCCUCUGGCCAGCGCCCCUAAAGUAGUGGCGGAGUGGUGUAACUCUAGGCAUAUAAUUGUUAUCUCGCGCUGUGGUACGCUGAAGCCGCCAAAAACACCAUUUUUAAUGGAUGACUCGGACACGUGGAAUACCCGCUAACUUAACAUAUAGUAACGGAGGA
rnacentral:rRNA from 1 species